UAACAGAGAUAACAGGUCUCUUAUAAGCCCUAGUGCCCACAACUUUAUUGAGAGGAGUGAGAUAAGAAACCCAUUGUAAGAGUCAACGGGUCGCGUACCUUCUUUUUCACUUCGCAUUAUAUACGGGUGUAGGGCCAUCCUUUUGGCUCAGUCUCUCUCCUCUGUAUCUCUUUCUUUCUCAGCGAGUCACUGACAUUCCCUUAUGAAUUUUUUUCCUCAAAAACUAUUUCCUCAUUCACCUCCAAGUUUUUCCCUCUUAUCAAUGGCUUCAUCUCCUUCUUUUUCCACCUUCAUCAACGAGUUCUUCGAACAUAUGCAUCCUCCUUGUAUUUUGAGAAGUCUCCGCCUUCAAGAUCCCUCGUUGCUUAGCCUCUGACGACAGUUGCGAAGUGCUUCAAUGCAAUAAAUCUAGAUUUAAGCAUUCAAGGUACAUUCUCAAAAAAAUUAGCCUUUUUUUCUCCAUGUUUUCAUAUUUCAAGUUUUUUAGUUUCUAUUUGAAACCCUAUUCUUAAUUUCAUCCUCUAACCUUCCUUUCAAUUGCCAAAUAAUUUUCUUUAUUAAUCCCAUUUUUAUUUACUUUAGUACCCUUAAGUUCGAAUUUCACAUCUGGGCAAUGUUGCAAUUGGCUAAAUUGACAAUAUUUAGUGGGAAUUUCGGAAUACCCAAUUUUAACAUAGAGUUGCAAUUGAUUUGAAAUUCCUAACCCCAGAAAUUCAGAGAGACCAAGAGUACCAGCUCUCGUCGAAAUUGCAAAAUAUGGAGUUUUUUUUUUUUUUUUUUUUUUUUUUUUUUUUUUUUU